GAUCCUGGCUCAGGAUGAACGCUAGCUACGGGCUUAACACAUGCAAGUCGAGGGGCAGCAUGGUCUUAGCUUGCUAAGGCCGAUGGCGACCGGCGCACGGGUGAGUAACACGUAUCCAACCUGCCGUCUACUCUUGGACAGCCUUCUGAAAGGAAGAUUAAUACAAGAUGGCAUCAUGAGUCCGCAUGUUCACGUGAUUAAAGGUAUUCCGGUAGACGAUGGGGAUGCG
rnacentral:rRNA from 1 species